GGUUGACCUCGGAUCAGGUAGGGAUACCCGCUGAACUUAAGCAUAUCAAUAAGCGGAGGAAAAGAAACCAACAGGGAUUGCCUCAGUAACGGCGAGUGAAGCGGCAAGAGCUCAAAUUUGAAAGCUGGCCCCUUCGGGGUCCGCAUUGUAAUUUGCAGAGGAUGCUUCGGGAGCGGCCCCCAUCUAAGUGCCCUGGAACGGGCCGUCAUAGAG
rnacentral:rRNA from 1 species